AGCUCCAAUAGCGUAUGAUAAAGUUGUUGCAGUUAAAAAGCUCGUAGUUGGAUUUCUGGUGUGGAGGGGGCGCCGGCGCCGUCAUGGCGCUCGCGCGCUGUCCUCCUCGCCAUCCUUGGGUAGAUCCGGACUGGCAUUAGGUUGUCGGCUCGGGGAAGCCCAUCGUUUACUGUGAAAAAAUUAGAGUGUUCAAAGCAGGCUUAAGCCCUGAAUACAUUAGCAUGGAAUAAUGAGAUAGGACCCUGGUGUUUUAUUUUGUUGGUUUGCACGCCAGAGUAAUGAUUAACAGGGACAGUUGGGGGUAUUCGUAUUCAAUUGUCAGAGGUGAAAUUCUUGGAUUUAUGGAAGACGAACUACUGCGAAAGCAUUUACCAAGGAUGUUUUCAUUAAUCAAGAACGA
rnacentral:rRNA from 1 species